rfam:Terribacillus aidingensis strain MP602, complete genome.
UGAGACAAGCAGAAGUACCCACUUCUCACCUGAUUGACGCCGCUUGGCAGUUGGCAGGUACGAAAACAGUGUUCUAGGACAAAUGUGGGUGCCGUAUGCGUACCGGCAUUUUUUUUAUGCU